AGUGAACGCUGGCGGUAGGCCUAGCACAUGCAAGUCGAACGGCAGCACAGUAAGAGCUUGCUCUUACGGGUGGCGAGUGGCGGACGGGUGAGGAAUACAUCGGAAUCUACUUUUUCGUGGGGGAUAACGUAGGGAAACUUACGCUAAUACCGCAUACGACCUACGGGUGAAAGCAGGGGAUCUUCGGACCUUGCGCGAUUGAAUGAGCCGAUGUCGGAUUAGCUAGUUGGCGGGGUAAAGGCCCACCAAGGCGACGAUCCGUAGCUGGUCUGAGAGGAUGAUCAGCCACACUGGAACUGAGGCACGGUCCAGACUACUACGGGAGGCAGCAGUGGGGAAUAUUGGACAAUGGGCGCAAGCCUGAUCCAGCCAUACCGCGUGGGUGAAGAAGGCCUUCGGGUUGUAAAGCCCUUUUGUUGGGAAAGAAAAGCAGCAGGUUAAUACCCCGCUGUUCUGACGGUACCCAAAGAAUAAGCACCGGCUAACUUCGUG
rnacentral:rRNA from 1 species